rnacentral:rRNA from 1 species
GACAGAGGGUGCAAACGUUGUUCGGAAUUACUGGGCGUAAAGCGAGUGUAGGCUGUCCGAUAAGUCAGGUGUGAAAGCCCUGGGCUCAACCCAGGAAGUGCACUUGAAACUGCCGGGCUAGAGUAUCGGAGAGGUUGGUGGAAUUCUCGGUGUAGAGGUGAAAUUCGUAGAUAUCGAGAGGAACACCGGUGGCGAAGGCGGCCAACUGGACGAAUACUGACGCUGAGACUCGAAAGCGUGGGGGGCAAACAGG